UACGGGGGGGGCAAGCGUUGUUCGGAAUUACUGGGCGUAAAGGGCGCGUAGGCGGUUUGCUAAGUUGGAUGUGAAAACUCUGGGCUUAACCCAGAGCCUGCAUCCAAAACUGGCAAACUUGAGUACUGGAGGGGAAAGCGGAAUUCCUGGUGUAGCGGUGAAAUGCGGAGAUAUCAGGAGGAACACCGGUGGCGAAGGCGGCCAUCUGGACGGUGACUGACGCUGAGACGCGAAAGCGUGGGGAGCAAACAGG
rnacentral:rRNA from 1 species